rnacentral:rRNA from 1 species
CAGCAGCCGCGGUAAUACGGGGGGAGCAAGCGUUGUUCGGAUUUACUGGGCGUAAAGGGCGCGUAGGCGGCCUCCGCAAGUCAGUUGUGAAAUCUCCGAGCUUAACUCGGAAAGGUCAACUGAUACUGCGGGGCUAGAGUGCGGAAGGGGCAACUGGAAUUCUUGGUGUAGCGGUGAAAUGCGUAGAUAUCAAGAGGAACACCUGCGGCGAAGGCGGGUUGCUGGGCCGACACUGACGCUGAGGCGCGAAAGCUAGGGGAGCGAACGGG